rnacentral:rRNA from 1 species
GCCUAAACAGCUAGCCCACACAAGGAAAGCAACAGCCACCGUUAAUAACCCCACACUUACGAGAUCUUUUCACCAAAACAUUUUUCCCCCUUAGUAUGGGAGACAGAACAGGGACACAGGCGCUAUAGAACAAGUACCGCAAGGGAAGGCUGAAAGAGAGGUGAAACAGCCCAGUUAAGGUCAGAGAAGCAGAGAUUUAUCCUCGUACCUUUUGCAUCAUGACUUAGUCAGCACCCACCAAGCAAAGAGCCCUUUAGUUUGGUACCCCGAAACUUGGCGAGCUACUCCGAGACAGUCUAUUAUAGGACACACCCGUCUCUGUGGCAAAAGAGUGGGAAGAGCUUUGAGUAGAGGUGACAGACCUACCGAGCCCAGUUAUAGCUGGUUGCCUGGCAGUUGAAUAGAAGUUCAGCCUCUUGAUUUUUCUAACCUCCCCAGGCUAAACCGAGCCCCGGCCCGAGAGAACAUCAAGAGAGUUAUUCAAGGGUGGGACAGCACCCUAGAAAAUAGACACAACUUUGCGAGCGGGCUAAAGAUCAAAAGGUACAAGGGCCUGUGCCCGAGUGGGCUUAAGAGCAGCCACCUCCCUACAAAAGCGUUAUAGCUUAAGCAUAAUCCCCCCCCUACAAUUUCGGCAGAAAUAUCUUAAACCCCUUUAGUUACCAGGCCCUCCCAUGCCCCCAUGGGAAGGAUACUGCUAACAUGAGUAAUAAGAAAGAUAUGACUUUCUCCUAGCAGACAUGUAUAUCAGAACGGACCCCCCGCUGAACAUUAACGCCCCCACCAUAGAGGGCAUUGAGCCAUGACUACUAAAACUAGAAGCCCCCUCAACUACUAGCGUUAACCCUACACAGGUCUGCCCUUAGGAAAGACAAUAAGAGAAAGAAGGAACUAGGCAAACGCUUUUAGCCUCGCCUGUUUACCAAAAACACCGCCUCUUGCCCCCACAGUAUAAGAGGUCCCGCCUGCCCUGUGACGAGAGUUUAACGGCCGCGGUAUUUUGACCGUGCGAAGGUAGCGUAAUCACUUGUCUUUUAAAUGGAGACCAGUAUGAAUGGCACAACGAGGGCUAAACUGUCUCCUUCCUCUAGUCAAUGAAAUUGAUCUGCCCGUGCAGAAGCGGGCAUAUGCACAUAAGACGAGAAGACCCUAUGGAGCUUGAGACGUCGAGGCAGCCCGCGUUAAUGACCUCCCCUUACGGCACUAAACAUGAGCGGCUUAUUCUGCCCCUGUCUUUGGUUGGGGCGACCGCGGGGAAACACAAAACCCCCGAGUGGAAUGGGAUAAUCCCCGAGAUAAGGCCCUCAGGCCUACCCACCAGAAAAUCUGACCAGCAAGAUCCGGAAAUCCGAUCAACGGACCCAGUUACCCUAGGGAUAACAGCGCAAUCCCCUUUUAGAGCCCACAUCGACAAGGGGGUUUACGACCUCGAUGUUGGAUCAGGACCUCCUAGUGGUGCAGCCGCUACUAAGGGUUC